rnacentral:misc_RNA from 1 species
UACGUAGGGGGCAAGCGUUGUCCGGAAUUAUUGGGCGUAAAGCGCUCGCAAGUGGUUCUCUAAGUCUGAUGUGAAAGCCCCCGGCUCAACCGUGGAGGGCCAUUGGAAACUGGGGUACUUGAGGACAGAAGAGGAGAGUGGAAUUCCACGUGUAGCGGUGAAAUGCGUAGAUAUGUGGAGGAACACCAGUGGCGAAGGCGACUCUCUGGUCUUUCUCUGACGCUGAGGUGCGAAAGCGUGGGUAGCAAACAGG